rnacentral:rRNA from 1 species
UACGAAGGGGGCUAGCGUUGUUCGGAAUUACUGGGCGUAAAGCGCACGUAGGCGGACUAUUAAGUCAGGGGUGAAAUCCCAGGGCUCAACCCUGGAACUGCCUUCGAUACUGGCGAUCUUCGAGUCCGGGAGAGGUGAGUGGAACUCCGAGUGUAGAGGUGAAAUUCGUAGAUAUUCGGAAGAACACCAGUGGCGAAGGCGGCUCACUGGCCCGGUACUGACGCUGAGGUGCGAAAGCGUGGGGAGCAAACAGG